AAGGCAAGGUAGAGGGCGGGCCCCUUCUGGAAGGUCUGGAAGGUUUGGAAGAGGGACACCCUCGGGAAGGAGUAGGGUUCAGGAACAGGACAGGGCUUGGGGACCGGAGUCAGCUCAGGGGCUGGAGAGAAUUGUGGAACCGGAUGGCACACCAAACUCACCACCCCCACUCUGAUGGUCCAUAAGGCACCCUCCAACCCGGGCCUUGAAGCAACAGCGCUGCACGUACGCCCCAACACAGCCUCCAACAAAAGAGCGUCUGCUGGGUCCAAUGAUGGUCGGAUCAUUCUGUCACGGUUAGCGGGUGGCAGGCAGGCAGGUAAGACCCAAUCGCAGACAGUUCAAUAAAAGGAUAAUUUAUUAAUGCAAAAGGCAAGGAACACGGGUGACGCGGGGAACAACGGGAACACAGGUACACACCGGACACAACUCAACACAAACUAAAAUUAUCCGACAAGGAACAAAGGAAAGACAAGGGCUUAAAUACUAAACACAGGGCACGCAAAGAGUAACAGCAUGGGGAGAAACAAUUCGGAGAUACCAAAGUAAAACAUGUAUCACACCAAAACAAGUCAAGGAAACAGACAGCCCAUGACACCCUCCCUCCCUUUCCCAAAGCAGAGAUAAACCGGAAUUGGGAGAUCUUCCCAGAAGUACAAAAUAGAUAAUUGGCAGGUUCAGAGUGCUGAAACAAAGAAGACAUAAAACUAAACAAAAAUAAGAAAUACUAUGGCUUUAGUUAUCCCCAUCCUCUGGAACAGCUGUCAAGGUUUUUACAUAUAGUCUAGAAAAGGUGUUAAUUUUUUUCAAAACUUCUUAGUGAACCUUUCAGACUGACACAGCAGGAGAAUUUCUGAUUCCAUGGAGGAAGCUAAUGGCAUUCUAAACAGACUUUCUACCAAUCUUCGGGGCCAAGAAACCCCGAACUCUGGCCAUCUGAGUAAUUGCCUGCCUACCCUGGUUUGAACUUGACCAUUGUUUGCGUGUCGUGUGUUUCGGUUUUUGCUCCAAUCUCCAUUGGAGCAGAAAAAAAGACAUGGCCAGCAUUUAUUUGAUGAUGUCGAGCAGCUGCAAAGAUCAUCAUUAUCAUACAGAGUAUUCCUUGAAAUCUUUUAAGUGUGUGGAUUUACUAUAAAUCAAAUAUUUCAUUAUCUUUCCAUGAGAAGAUACUAUUGCAUUAUUUAAAAAAAAAGGAAUAUAAAGCAAUUACAACUUU